AAAACCAAAUACAUUUUUCCUUACCUGUGCAGUUUUCAUAACACAAUCAGCUUGGACACUGAUAACAGCCUCAUCAGAUUCAUGGCUGAUUUCACAUUUUUAUACAGUAAUAAUUGUAUUAUUAUCACUCUAACUACCAUGUUGCCAAGGCUGCAGGAAAAUGGUAAUUUUCUAUAGCACCUUUGGUGAUGUGUAAAACAACAAAGCUCAAAUUGGAAAGUUUGCUGUUAGUGCCCAGCUCUUUGGUUUCAUUUACCAACUCAGCUCUGGUGCAGCCGGAGUGACAGUGACAAGGACCAGGACAAGAGUGGCACAUCACCACACCACUUGCACAGCUGGCCCUUGGCUAUUUGUUGCACACUCCUCUUUGUAAAUCGAGCAGCUGUGAGUCUGCCUGCUGAAGCUCAGGUUGGAUAUUAGGAAAAGUUUCUUCUCAGAAAGAGUGAUGAUGCAUUGGUACAGGCUGCCCUGAGAGGUGGUGGAGUCAUCAUCCCUGGAGGUGUUCCAGAACUGUGGAGAUGUAGCACAGAGGGAUGUGGUCAGUGUGCCCACUGGUGGGUUGGGGUCAGACUAGAUGAUGCUGGAGUUCUUUUCCAACUGUCAUAAUUCUAUGAUUCCUGCAUUGGACAUGAGCUGUUUAGGUGCAAAUAUAAUGUGACAUCUUCCUCCACGUGUUGGACAGGUUUUGCAGGGAAAUAUGCCUCCCAGAAUCAUGGAAGCUCUCCUUUCUGCAGCCUCCCUCCUUCAAUAUUUUCUGUAGGUCCCACUGCCACAGCCAAAGCAGAAGCACUUCAGACAGCAGAAUCGACUGGUUCUCUGCAUAGAGAAAGUAUUUGCUUAGGAAUAUUUCUGUAUUCAGAUACCCAAAGCCAAACUUGCUAAAAUAUGCACUGCUAAGGUAAAGCUUUGGAAGCUUUCUGGGCAGACCAGUCUCUUUUUGGUGGCAAUGCAUAUUGUUCCCUCACUGCACUGUACCAUUUGCCAGCGCCACACAGCAUUUUCUAUUCUUGGGCCACUGGUUUAAAGCCAACUCAGUAUAGUAGCAGGCCAGUCACACCAAUCACUGAAGAGCAGCAGUCUACAUGGCCCAGGUGGAAAUACUAAGUGCAGCCCAAGGCACUGUGUGCUCAAAUAGGCAAGGGACCAGGACAGAGUCACCGCAGGGCUGGUCCUCAGAGGGGAUGCUGCUGGUCCCAGCAAUAAUAUAGACCCAAUGACAUGGGGUAGAACUGCUUUGAGCACAUGGAUGCAAUAAAUUUGCUUUGAUGUGUGCA
rnacentral:lncRNA from 1 species